rnacentral:sRNA from 1 species
UGACAAACUAUAAUUUAUUUUCUUUUUAAUCAUUUUCUCAAUUUUUUGUUGAAAGUAAUAUUGCUGGCUGAAAAAUCUUUACGAAAACAAAAUUUACAAAUUAAGCAAGUGAUGCUAAUUAGUGCAUGAGCUGACCAAAAUACAGGCAGAAGAAGAUAAUUAUUGGUGAUAAUGCUGAACGCAACCGGCAUCAGGUAUUUCGACACAGCAAUGUUUGACGGAUCAUUUGGCAGCUAUCCAAAGAUUUCCUUUUUAUAAAAGUUUUUUUUACUGUAUAAAUAUUUUAAACAAAUAAAUAAAAGUCUAAGCUUCUUUUAAUGCCUUA